CCGAGUCGCACGGAUCACUUGAGUCCAGGAGUUCGAGACCCGCCUGGCCAACAUGGUGAAACCCCGUCUCUACGGAAAACACAAACAAUGAGCCGGGCAUGGUGACGCAUGCCUGUAGUCUCAGCUACUCAGAGGGCUGAGGCCCAAGAAGUGCUUGAACUCGGGAGACAGAGCUUGCAGUGAGCCCGGAUUUUGCCUGUGUACUCCAACCUGGGCAACAGAAAGAGACUCCAUCACCCACCUACACACAAUAGGAAUCUCAGGAAGGUGGAAAGUAUAAAGACCUCCCAGUGCCAAGUGUAUAAGCGUGUCCAGAAUUGGUGGGUCUCACUGACUUCAAGAAUGAAGCCGCGGACCCUCCUGGUGAGUGUUACACUUCUUAAAGUUGGCGUGUCUGGAGUUUUUUCCUUCUGAUGUUCGGAUGUGUUCGAAGCUUCUUCCUUCUGGUGGGGUUCGUGGUCUCGCUGGCUCAGGAGUGAAGCUGCAGACCUUCACGGUGAGUGUUACAGCUCUUAAGGCUGCACGUCUGGAGUUGUUCAUUUCUCCUGGUGGGUUCAUGGUCUCGCUGGCUUCAGGAGUGAAGCUGCAGACCUUCUCGGUGAGUGUUACAGCUCAUAAAGGCAGUGUGGACCCAAACAGUGAGCAGCAACAAGAUUUAUUGCAAAGAGCAAAAGAACAAACUUCCACAGUGUGGAAGGGGACUCCAGCUGGUUGCCACUGCUGGCUUGGGCAGCCUGCUUUUAUUCUCUUACCUGGCCCCACCCACAUCCUGCUGAUUGGUCCAUUUUACAGAGAUCCUGAAUGGUGUGUUUUGACAGGGUGCUGAUUGGUGCCUUUACAAUCCCUGAGCUAGACACAAAGUCUCCCCACGUCCCCACUAGAUUAGCUAGAUACAGAGUGUCCACACAAAGGUUCUCCAAGUCCCCACCAUAAUGGCUAGAUACAGAGUGUCGAUUGCUGCAUUCACAAACCCUGAGCUAGACACAGGGUGCUGAUUGGUGUGUUUACAAACCUUGAUCUAGAUACAGAGUGUCGAGUGGUGUAUUUACAAUCCCUUAGCUAGACAUAAAGGUUCUACAAGUCCCCAU
ensembl:lncRNA novel transcript